rnacentral:rRNA from 1 species
UUUAAUUGAAGAGUUUGAUCAUGGCUCAGAUUGAACGCUGGCGGCAGGCUUAACACAUGCAAGUCGAGCGGUAGCACAAGAG